CCGCGACGCUCUAGCCGCGCGCAGCGCUCUAUGACCUCCCUCCGGCCAAGGCGGGGCGGUUAGCGCGGCGCUUCCCGGCUGCCGUUCCUGCAGCGGCGUUGCGUCACGGCGCGUUGCGUCGGCGUCGACGGCGGCUGAGGAGGGACACGGCGUUGGCGGCCCGGCCGGCGCUAUGGAGGCGGCGGCGGCGGCGGCUCCGGCGACCUCGUCCCGCGCCCUGGUGCCCGCCAGGCCCGAGGGCGCCGCCGUGGUGGCGGGGCGGGAGGCGGCGCAGCCGGCCCCGAGGCGCCCGAAGAAGGUCCUGGACGAAGAGGCCUACAUCGAGAGCUUAGAGACGAUCAUUCAGCGAGACUUCUUCCCUGACGUGGAGAAGCUACGAGCGCAGAAGGAAUAUCUGGAGGCGGAAGAGAACGGCGACUUGGAGAAAAUGAGACAAAUCGCUAUCAAGUUCGGUUCCUCCUUGGGCAAAUCGUCAAGGGACACUCCCGCACCCUAUGUUACUCCAGCCACAUUUGAAACCCCUGAAGUACAUCCGGGUGGUCUUCCACUUGUGAAUAAACCCAAAGUUGGCAUCAAAGCUGCAGAGGAAGAAGAAGUGGAAAAAGAUGAUAAAGAUGUACUUCCCAGUCUGGACAGCUUCUUAGCAAAGCACACGAGUGAAGAUAAUGCUUCAUUUGAGCAGAUCAUGGAAGUGGCUAAAGAGAAGGAGAAAGUCAAGCAUGCUUGGCUGUACAGUGCGGAAGAGGAGUAUGCCCAGCGACGAAAUGAGAACUUGGCACUUCCUCCAGCAGAGCAGCAGGCCCUUGAAAAUGUGAAAGCCGGACUGGAGACCUGGGAGUACACAGCUCGGAAUUCCCUCAUGUAUUAUCCCACAGGUGUACCCGAUGAGGAUGAUAUAUUUAAGAAGCCCAGGGAAGUUGUCCAUCGAAACACCCGUUUUGUGAAGGAUCCUUUUAGUCAAGCCUUGAGCAAAUCCCAGCUCCAACAAGCUGCAGCACUCAAUGCCCAGUACAAACAGGGCAAAGUGGGACCAGAUGGGAAAGAGCUCAUACCCCAGGAGUCUCCAAAAGUGAAUGGAUAUGGAUUUGUGGCUACUCCCUCUCCUGCCCCUGGUGUGAACGAGUCUCCUCUUAUGACAUGGGGUGAAAUCGAAAGCACCCCUUUGCGUUUAGAUGGAUCAGAAACGCCAUAUGUGGACAGAACACCCGGACCAGCCUUCAAGAUCCUGGAGCCUGGGCGCCGCGAGAGGUUAGGACUUAAGAUGGCCAAUGAAGUAGCAGCUAAAAACCGAGCGAAAAAACAGGAGGCACUUCGAAAAGUCACAGAAAACCUGGCCAGCCUUACUCCAAAAGGACUAAGCCCAGUUAUGUCUCCAGCUUUGCAACGGCUGGUAAACAGGACUGCAAGUAAAUAUACUGACAAAGCCCUGCGAGCCAGCUAUACUCCUUCCCCAGCCCAUACAGGAACUCCUGGUUACAAGACCCCAGCAGGUGGGCCUCAUACACCCACAACCACCCCACUAUCAAGGACAGUGUCUCAGACACCGGUGUCUCAGGAUACUACGUCAAUCACAGACAAUUUACUGCAGCUUCCUAAAAGAAGGAAGGCAUCUGAUUUUUUCUAAAUAGUCCUUUCAUCAUCAAGGCGAUAGUGAAUUGGCUGUACCCAGCUGCGUGCCAACCGGAUGUUGUGAACCAUCAGUAUUAAGGGGUAUCUAAGUGCAGCUGCCAGAACAGGACCCAGCAGUUGCUAGAUCUGGGACCAGCUCUACUCUAGACCACAUAGCUGAAGUAGCCUAUGAUGUGCUUUUUGGAAGAAAAAUAUUUCCUGCUGUGGUAUAACUUCCCUUUGAACUGCAUGGAUAUGUUACACAGGGCUGCCGUAGCGUAAGGAUGCUUCCUGCAAUGGCAGAGAAAAGUUUGGACUCUUGGAAAGCAGCAAGGAUUUUGUGAAGAUAUUUUUCUCUUUUUGAGAUGACCCUGUGGACUGCAUUUAAAUACUUCUGUGUACAGAUAUCUCUAUUUAUAAAAUGUGGCUGGGAUUCUGUUUGCCGUUUGUGCUUGGACUUUUCCUCAUGCAGAUUCUGGGAACACUCGCCCUCUUCUGCAGCUGGUGCUGUUGAAGGGACUGUGGGUUCUGGAGUCUGCAGCCAAGGGUGGCUUAAAACUUCAUCUAUGCACAGCCUCUGAGACACAUCUGGAUGGAGCAUGCAGUAAAUGAGAUCCUUGCACGCUGCAGUCAGGUGCCUGGACUUGGGGAAGUGAAUCCUGUGUUCUUUCUGAAUGGAGAUCAUUUUUUUGAUGUUAGAAUCAUCAAAUGGCAUUAAUGCACAGACCAUUAUAUAUAGGAUGACCCCCAAGCUCCAUAUGUCACAAAUCUUGGGGUUACAAGGAAUGCCCUGUAGCACUUCAGGGGCUGCAUAUGCAGCAGACCCGCAGAAGGUUUUACUGAGAGUAAUUUUCCCGUUUUCAUCCCGAUUUAAGGGUCUGGAAAAGCCAAAGUCUGAGAGCUUGAUGUUGAGGUCUUUAUCGAGAAGGAUGUUCUCACACUUCAGGUCCCUGUGAGCAAGAUCCAUGUCAUGGCAGUACUUGAUGGCGGAAGCCAACUGCUGAAACUUCUUCUGUGCAACGUCCUCUUUCAUCGCUCCAGUACUCUUGAUAUAGUCCAGAAGAUCUCCCCUUACCCCCAGCUCCAUCACAAUGUACACUUUGCCAACAAAUGUUUCAAAUAUCUCGUGGGUUCUGACUACUGAGGGGUGGCUCAUACGUUUCAAAACAGCAAUUUCCCUGGGGAGAAAUUUUUCCAGGAAAUCCUGAGGAGUUUUCCGCUUGUCGAUAAUCUUUAUUGCCACGUUGCGUUUCAGUUUGUUGGAGUAGGCUGCUUUCACUUUGCCAUAAGUGCCUUCCCCCAGAGUGACGCCCACGUUAUAGCCUCUCUUUCCAAGCACCAUGAUAUCUUCCAUUGUGCUAGAAGUGGGGUGAGCUGGGGGGCUGGUGCUGGGUGUCAUCCGCGCUGGCGUGCUGCGUGUUGCCGCUCCAUGGGGGCUGCCGGGACGCCCUGCUCCCGCGCCGGGCGGGUGGGCUCCCCGCUGGCGGCUGUGUGAUGUCACAAGCCGGGGAAUCGAAGGGAUGUUUCCAGCCCCGUGAGGGAGCUACGGGAUGCCGAGAUCCAUGGCAAAACUAUGCAUCAAGUCUCCAAGAGUCAUCAGCCUGUCCUCUACCUCAUUCAUAAAUGAUCUUUAUAUUUAGUUUUGCCAAGAGGAUGGCAGUAGCUUAAAUAUUUUUCUUUCAUCUCAUAUAAAAUCAUUCUAAUACUUUUUAUAUUUACUCAUAUGUUAGUCAGGUACUCAUUUGAGUGUUAAAAUAAUCUGGUAGGGAAUGAUUAAGCUAUGUUUAGGGUUUUUUUUUUUUUUUAAUUGGUAUUUCUAUGGCUUAUGAAAGGAAAAACUAACAUGAGUAUGCAGGUCAUUUCUGGGGGUGGCUUCUUCAGGCUUUGCUUGGUCAGUGUUAGAAGUGUUUUCUGUGAGAUAAAAUGGAGGAGUUGAUGAUAACGUUAUUUACAAAAUAAGCUCUUUCCGAAAGCAUAAAACUAUGGAAAAGUUUCCUGAAGUAACUUAAUUUACUGAAGUAGAACUCUUAAAGUAUUUAUACUAUUAGAGGUUUUCUCUUCCCCCCCUUUUUUUUUUCUUCCUCUUAAUACACUGAAAUUCAGUAUGAGCACUUUUUGCUGGUUGUCUUGAAUUUUCAAAAUGUGUUGGUAUACUAGUUUACUUAAGUGGUUUUGUUCUGCAAUGGACCAAUGCUCUAGUUAUACUGUCUGGCUUGAAGGUUCAAGCACAACAACAUAUCUGAGUUUUCAUCCUUGCAGUAGGGUGUUUAAAACCUUUAUAAAGAAGUUAAUUGUUUGUACAUGUAUGCAUUUCUUGUCUGAGGUACACAAUGUAAAUACUAAAUGAAGGUGCUAUGGCUCUAUUCUCAAAGAUGACUUUUUUUUUUUCCUGAAGACAGAAAUUCUGCCUUUUUGUAUGUCUCAGCUGACUUUUUUUAUGGGCUUUUUUUCUGCAGUGUUUUUACUCAGGUUUUUUUCAAUGCUCUGUCUUGUGAAUUUGUCUCUGCUUCCCGCUGCGGUGCUGCUGCCCUUAGGGUGGGUGCUCAACAGUAACCAGAGACAGGGAUGGGGGUCUCUGGCUCCUGCUUCCUCACUCAUUUGUGUUGCAGUGAUAGCUGAGAAACCUACAGGUCCUCAAUACAAUGUUGAUUGGGAGAGAAAUACAAUUUUUUUAGUCUUUUGCAGUCAAAAUAUGAAGUAAAGUAGAGGUUUUCAAGGUCUGAGUUAAACGUUGCAGCAGCACGCCUGGCAGUGCAGAAGGUCCAUUCCUAGACUGGCAGACAUUAAAGCUGUGAAUAGCACCUGCGGUUUCCUGAGGAAUGGCACAUUUUGGUACUCCUCAGAGACAAACCACUCGGACUUCCUUUCAACACGUAGCAGCCUCACUCCUCUUCAGUCAGCUUUCUUCAAAGAGGGUAGUUUGCCACCGCAGAGGCGAGAAGAAGUUCUGAUGUUGGGGAAUGUGGGAUGCUGCUUUUCUAUCUUUAAAAUGGUUACGUUCAAGAACUGAUCUUUUUUUCCAUGCCCUUGUUAUGAGAAGGGGUGGGCUUUCCUUGGUGUUUGUUCAGCUCCUGUAUUUUGUAAAGCUGAUGAUUGGCUGCUUUUGUAGGCUUUGCAGCUGCCUUCUUAAACCCUUACUCAAUGCAUGAGCUGUGUUUUGAUUUCCAGGUUCUGGUAUUCUGGAGGAAGCCUUGUGUUAAAAGCUUCUUCAAAACUGUUCAGAGGAUUACUAUCGUUUUGCGUGUUGAUUGCUUCACCAUAAUCAGCCUCUGGGGCUUUUUGCUGUCUUGAUUUCAGCUUUUUCAAAUUGGUCUUUGAGCUCCCAUGUGUGCGACUUCGAAGACUCGAUGAUGGUAACAACACUAGGGCAAAGAACAGUCUUGUUUAGUUCACUGGGAUGGAUAACAAUGUCAUUCUAAAGAGCAGAAAUGGUACUCCUGACAGCCAAAGUGGGGCUUCCCUCCUCCCCCUUUCUUUGAACCUUUUGGCUAAUUUUCAUAAUUAUCCAAAAAAUCAGAAGUUGCUUUAUGCAUGCAUAGUUCGCACCCAGAGCUGUGCUUGUCCCUGUGUGAACUGACCUUUGAGUGCGAGAUGAAUACUUGUGCUGUGUGCUCGAGCCCAGAGAAGCGGCGAACACCUUGGAGCAGGAAGCAGGCAUAGCCCAAUGUUUACACUUGCACCAUGCCAGAAUACAAGACAGUCUAUGUAAUGUUUGGCAGCCUCGAUAUUUGCUACAAUCAGGUGAUGUCUUACCCAGGGAAAAUUUUACACAGCUCUUUGGGUAGUGCCUACAAACUUCUGUAAGGUUUCGGAUGUUUGAUGCAUUGUUUGUCUUGGAAGGGAGCUUUCUUUUGCCACAUCCAAAACUCAUGUCCCUUGGCUAUGAAUAUGCUAUGAAAACCCUUCCAAAGUACUUGAUUUUUGUAGUGCUCCUUUUAAAAAUCUGCCAAUCAACAUGGCAUUGAUAGGAAUAGCUACUGUGUGAAGUGAAUAAUUUUUGCUUUUUUUAGUUUAGAAAUGAAUAAGGGCUAAACUUUUUCUUGAAGCUAGGCAAUAAAGUUAUUCAGAUACUCA